AGAGUUUGAUCAUGGCUCAGAAUGAACGUUGGCGGCGUGGAUUAGGCAUGCAAGUCGAGCGAGAACCUGUCUUCGGACAGGGGACAGCGGCGAACGGGGUAGGAAUACCUCGGUGACGUACCCCCCGGUCGGGGAUAGCGGCGGGAAACUGCCGGUAAUACCCGAUGAUCUUCCUAGGUUUUAUUUCCAGGGAAGCAAAGGUGUGAUUCCGUCGGGGGAGCGGCUGAGGUCGUAUUAGCUAGUUGGUAAGGUAACGGCUUACCAAGGCGAUGAUGCGUAGGGGGUGUGAGAGCAUGGCCCCCACCACUGGCACUGAGACACUGGCCAGACACCUACGGGUGGCUGCAGUCGAGAAUCUUCGGCAAUGGGCGCAAGCCUGACCGAGCGACGCCGCGUGCGGGAUGAAGGUCUUCGGAUUGUAAAGCUCUUUCAGCCGGGAAGAAAACGCAUGGGUUAAUACCCUGUGUGGAUGACGGUACCGGAAUAAGAAGCACCGGCUAACUACGUGUCAGCCGCCGCGGUAA
rnacentral:rRNA from 1 species